rnacentral:rRNA from 1 species
UACAGAGGGGGCGAGCGUUAUUCGGAAUUAUUGGGCGUAAAGCGCGUGUAGGCAGCCACGCAGGUCCGCUGUGAAAACUCGAGGCUCAACCUCGAGCUGUCGGUGGAAACCGCGUGGCUAGAGUCAGGAAGAGGGGACUGGAAUUCCCGGUGUAGCGGUGGAAUGCGCAGAUAUCGGGAGGAACGCCCGUGGCGAAGGCGGGUCCCUGGGACGGUACUGACGCUGAGACGCGAAAGCGUGAGGAGCGAACAGG